CGAUGGUGAAUGUUGGAGUGAACACAUUUGGCCAUAUUGGACACUUGGUUACCAGGGCUGCCUUCGUAUCUGGCAAAGUGAACGCUGUUGCCAUCAAUGACCCCUUCAUUGACCUCAACUACAUGGUCUGCAUGUUCCAGUCUGGCUCUACCCAUGGCAAGUUCAAGGGCACAGUCAAGGCUGAGAACGGGAAGCUCAUCAUCAACAGGAAGGCCAUCACCAUCUUCCAGGAGGGAGAUCCCGCCAACAUCAAAUGGAGUGAGGCUGGUGCCGAGCAUGCUGUGGUGUCUACUGUGUCUUCACCACCAUGGAGAAGGCUGGGGCCCACUUGAAGGGUGGGGCCAAAAGGGUCAUCAUCUCCACCCCUUCUGCUAACACCGCCAUGUUUGAUAUGGGUGUGGACCGUGAGAAGUAUGACAUUCACUCAAGAUUGUCAGCAAUGCUUCCUGCACCACCAACUGCUUAGUCCCCUGGCCAAGGUCAUCCAUGACACAUCUUUGGCACUGUGGAAGGACUCAUGACCACAGUCCAUGCCAUCACUGCCACCCAGAAGACUGUGGAUGGCCUCUCUAGGAAGCUGUGGCAUGAUGGCCGUGGGGCUGCCCAGAACAUCAUCCCUGCAUCCACCGGUGCUGCCAAGACUGUGGGCAAGGUCAUCCCAGGGCUGAACGGGAAGCUCACGGGCAUGGCCUUCCGUGUUCCUACCUCCAAUGUGUCUGUCAUAGAUCUGACAUGCCGUCUGCAGAAACCUGCCAAGUAGAAUGACAUCAAGAAGGUGGUGAAGCAGGCAUCGGAGGGCCCACUAAAGGGCAUCCUGGGCUACACUGAGGACCAGGUUGUCCCCUGCGACUUUAACAGGGAUACCCACUCUUCCACCUUUGAUGCUGGGGCUGGCAUUGCUCUCAAUGACAACUUUGUGAAGCUCAUUUCCUGGUAUGACAAUGAAUACGGCUACAGCAACAGGGUGGUGGACCUCAUGGCCUCCGUGGCCUCCAAGGAGUAAGAAGCCUGCCCUGGACCACCCACCCCAGCAAGGACAGCAAGAGAGAGGCCCUCAUCUGCUGAGCAGUUCCUGUCCCAUCUCAGCCCCCAACACUGAGCAUCUCCCUCACAGUUUCCAUCCCAGACCCCCAGAAUAACAGGAGGGGCUUAGAGAGCCCUACUCU